AGCCACAUCACAUUGAAACACCAGUUCCUGUGUGAUCACUGAAGUUAAGCAACAUCUAGCUUGGUUAGUAUUUAUAUGGGUGAUCACUUAUGAAUACCUGAUGCUGUGA